rnacentral:misc_RNA from 1 species
GUAGGUGAACCUGCGGAAGGAUCAUUAUAAAAAAGUCGGGCUUGGGUUUAACCCAACACCUGCCCCCAAAAGGGACCUUUUGUGCACUGUAAAAUUUUUUCACUUAAGCUUUGUCUGAUUGAUAUUUGUACCGAAAGGGACAAGAAUUUUAAUCUAAACAACUUUUAACAAUGGAUCUCUUGGCUCUCGCAUCGAUGAAGAACGCAGCAUCUGACUGACUGAACUGUAU